rnacentral:rRNA from 1 species
UACGGGGGGGGCAAGCGUUGUUCGGAAUUACUGGGCGUAAAGGGCGCGUAGGCGGCCUUCUAAGUCGGACGUGAAAUCCCUCGGCUUAACCGAGGAACUGCGUCCGAUACUGAAAGGCUUGAAUCCGGGAGAGGGAUGUGGAAUUCCAGGUGUAGCGGUGAAAUGCGUAGAUAUCUGGAGGAACACCGGUGGCGAAAGCGGCAUCCUGGACCGGCAUUGACGCUCAUGCACGAAAGCGUGGGGAGCAAACAGG